AGGAGGUGGCGCGGCAGGGCCUGGAGGGCUCCCUACGAGUGGCGGAGCAGGCCCAGGAGGCAUUGGAGCAGCAGCUCCCCACGCUGCGCCAUGAGCGCAGCCAGCUGCAGGAGCAGCUAGCGCAGCUCUCCCGGCAGCUGAGCGGGCGGGAGCAGGAGCUGGAGCAGGCCCGGCGGGAGGCCCAGCGGCAAGUGGAGGCGCUGGAGCGAGCGGCCCGUGAGAAGGAGGCGCUAGCCAAGGAGCACGCUGGCCUGGCUGUGCAGCUGGUGGCUGCGGAGCGUGAAGGCAGGACCCUGUCAGAGGAGGCCACACGCCUGCGCUUGGAGAAGGAAGCCCUGGAGGGCAGCCUGUUUGAGGUGCAACGGCAGCUGGCCCAGCUUGAGGCCCGCCGGGAGCAGCUGGAAGCCGAGGGGCAGGCCCUGCUGCUGGCCAAGGAGACCCUGACUGGGGACCAUGUUCGGACCCCCAGGCCAGCCCACUGCUGCUCCUUGGCACUUUCACGGCCCUGGCGUGUCCCCGUCAUAGCCCUUAUCACUCCCUUGUAUUUACCUGGUCACCCUCCAUCUCUGAGGGUAUGGGGGCC
rnacentral:lncRNA from 10 species